AGACAGGGCUCGAGAUUAAUCGGGCAGGGUCAAGCCCUUUUACGUCUACGCAUUCUCCCGUAAUGAAGCUCGCCAAUCUGCAUCCGUUUCGACCACGUUCGACGUCUACUACUUACUUGUAUUAGGUGUUUGACAAAGCUCCUUGAUUUCUACAUUAAUUCCGAUCUUCCGCACGGCCAUUACUCAACGGCCACAAUUCGACUCCGGCAUUUCGCUAUCAAACGCCCGCUAAAUGGCCAUUCCGUUGUACCUCACGAUGCCCCAGCGGUCCGAAUAAGAGCACUGCGGUUGCACCUCGACGUCCUCGGACGGCGUUUAUUCUCGACUUCCGUCAUCCCGUUCAAUCCAAAAUGGCAUUAUCGUUACAGCCAUUAAAAGGUAUACGUCAUAUGAUAUGAAUGAAAUAAAUGAUCGACUAUUUUUAAACGGAUUAAUACGUACUCGUUAAUAAUAUCGCAGAUAAGACU